rnacentral:rRNA from 1 species
GUCCUCUUGAGGAAUAAUUUGAGGUCCGGCCUGCUCACUGACAAGGUUUUAAAGAGCCGCGGUAUUUUGACCGUGCAAAGGUAGCAUAAUCAUUAGUCUCUUAAUUAGGGGCUGGAAUGAAUGGCUUGACGAGAAAUCAACUGUCUCUUAAUAAUUUUUAAAAUUUAACUUUUAAGUCAAAAGGCUUAAAUUUUUCUUUAGGACGAGAAGACCCUAUAGAGCUUGACAUUUUAUUUUUAUAUAGUUUUUGGUUAGUUUUCCUAUAUUUAAUGAUAAUGUUUUGUUGGGGUGACAUGAAGAAUAAAUAAACUCUUCAUUAUAAAAUCAUUGAUUUAUGUUUAUCAUGAUCCAUAAUUUAUGAUCAUAAGAUUAAGUUACCUUAGGGAUAACAGCGUAAUUGUUUUUGAGAGCUCAUAUCGACAAAGCAGAUUGCGACCUCGAUGUUGGAUUAAGAAAAAUUUUGGGUGCAGGAGCCCAAUAAUUAGGUCUGUUCGACCUUUAAAUUCUUACA